GCCCAGAAGAAGGGAAGGCGCGAGUGAGGAAAGGAGGUACUGUAGCCAUAAACACAUUUGCCAAUGUUACCUGGUCAAUUAGGGGUCUCCUGUAAGGAUUGCUUUCCAGCAGCACGCUGCCCCACAAUUCUGGAUCCUUUCGACGUACCAGGUAGCGAGAAAGACUUUUGAAGAGGGAAUUCUCAUUGCAAACCUAAAGAAGAUAUGAUAGAUUAAUUUCAAGCAACAAGCUCAUCAGUAGAGAAUUGACCUCUUACAACAAGAAUCAAGUUUUUUAUGACAUCUUCAGAACAGUCAACAUCAAGUAAUCCUCCAAUAACUACAGGAAGUCGACUUGGAUUCACCUGUGGUUAAAAAGAAGUAGAAGAAUGUUAUUAUGUUAUUAAAAGCAAAGAGGAAUUUUAAAAAA
rnacentral:lncRNA from 1 species